UAACCCCACGCUCCUAUGAAUUAAGAGAGAGAGAAACGGAGAGAGAGAAAUAAAGAGGGAAAGAGAUGUUCGCGAUCCGACCCGAACCUUCGCGAUCGGACCCGAAUUUAUCUCCAUUUUCCAGCCACCUUACCGACCAAGGAAGGUACCAAUAGAAAGCUUGAGAACUGGCCGUCAUUUCCAUUCCGUCAUUGCCGUCGAUUAUUGGCCGGAAAGCCGUUUAUUGAAGCCGCAAAAUUUGGCGGUGAAGCCGCAUUGUUUCGCCGCUGUUCCGCUAGUUUUGGGUGAGGCGACCAGUUGGAUUUUGUUCCCCACAAUCCCCUCUGUCCUUUCCGACCAUCCACUGAGCCGGGAACUGCCCUGUCCCGGCCGGUCAGCCGUUGGAAAGUUCAUGGCUUUGGGAGCUCGAUCAGCCACCGUCGCCGCGCGUCGAUCGUCACCGCCGCCACCAUCGGACUCAGCGUGGUUGGAACUCUCAGGCUAGAGCUUCCCGACGGCCUUUGGUUGACUUUCGGUCAUCGUUGACCAGUAAGGCCAUUUCGGUAAUUUCGUAUCCGAGGGCAAUUUUAUAGUUUCACACUUUGCGGGUAUUUUAGUAAUUGUAUAAAUCAAGAAUAGGCUGGUAAUUUACGAUUUUGAGAUUAACUUGGUAAAUUAUGAUUUUGGGGGUAUUCUAAUAAUGUUAGAAUUUGAGGGUAUUUUGGUAAUUUUGUUAAAUUUGAAGGCGAUUUUAUAAUUUUUGGAUUUGUGCAUAUUUUGGUAGUUUCUGAAUUGGAGAAUAAUUAGUAAUUUAUGAAAUUGAGAAUGAUUUGGUAGUUUAUAAUUUUGGAAUUUUUAGAUUAUUUAUGUGAUUUAUGAGUUUGAGGGCAUUUCGAUGAAGGUUGGGUUAUUUGAACUCAACAAACGCCUCACUAAAUCUAUUUUUGAGAUUAAUCUUUUAUGAUUAAAAUACUCUUAAAUUAAAUUACAAUUAUGGAUAUUAAAAUAUAAUAAAAAAACAGAAUUUUAAUUUUUUCAGCCCAUUUAUACAUCAACAUAAUUUUGUUAAAUCAUAAUCUUAUUUUCAUUAAAUCCUAAUUAACUAGAGGCAUGAAUUACGAGUGGCAAUCUUUUACUUUCAAUUAUCUUCCUACGGUUUGAUGCGCAUUCAAAUGGAGCUCAUCAUCGAUCAUUGAGUCAUGUGCUCUGAUUAUAAUAUUAAUCCUUAAAUUUUCUGAAAACUUUAAUUAUCAUUAAUCAAAAGCAAAUUGUAUUUUAAUUAACGGGUUAAAUUUCUUUUCUUUUCAAUUUGGCCAUUUAGUGGAGCCGAAUUAAGCUAAGCCGCAUCACCAUUCACCAAUGGUAGCUCAGCCUCUCCGCUAACAAUAGGCAUGGCUGAUUCUCAAUUAUCUGAUUAUCAUCACAAGCUCAAGUAGCACCUACGCUAACAAAUUCAUUUUGAUUUAAUUACCAUCUCCAUCGGUGUUAAAAAAAAUAAAUGAUUUCAAUGAAGAUUUAUAAAUGAAGUUAAUGGAUUUAGCGAGUUAAAAUAUUAUUAUUAUAAAAAUUGAGUUUAGUGAGUGUAUAUUAAGUAUUUAUCCGUACUAAUAUUUUAGCAUCCUAAUGAUUUCAAUUUAUCCAAUAAAUAUACAAUUGAAUCAUCUUAUAAAAUAAGUAUCUAAUCCUACUUUGAAGUAUUAAAAAAAGAAAAAAAAAGUUGAAUUGAAGACAUAUUUGAAAAUAAAAUAAAUUUUAUUAUUUAAUAAAAUUAUAAAAAUGCAAGGGGUAUAUCCAAAAGUUUCCGGGGUCUAGCCCAGGCUUGCUGUCUUAAGCAAAAAUUCGAAUCAAAUCAAAAUUAAAUUCUUUUUCUCCUCUCAUUUUUUAGAUGGGUUUCUUUGAUAGCCAAUCGAGAUCAAAAAAAGAAAUGGCAAAGGGAGAAUGAAUACAAGUAAAAAAAAAAAAAAAGAAGAAUAAGAAUAAUAAUUUAAGUGACUAGAUUUUUUCUUUCCUUGAAAUAUUGUCAUGUCGAUAAUUUUCUCUGCUAUAAUUUAUUAAUAAAAUUUAAUCGACAUAUGCGUGAAGAAGAAGUGCAAUUUUUCAUGAGAGAUUGAAAAGUGACUAACAUGAAGUUAACUUUUUUCUUCAGUUAGUAAUUUCAGUUAGUUUUAAAAACGUUAUGUUUUUUACAUCUAAAUAAAAUAUAGAUAGGAGGACAGGGGUAGAAACUCUUACAUCAAGUGAGAAUAAGUUUUUAUGUACUAUAUAUAUAUAUAUAAGAGGAGAUUAUGGUGAUAGGUAAGAUUAAAUUUAUUAACAAAAAUUUAAAAACAUCUUAUUAAUAUAAAAUUAUAAAAAAAUAAAUAAAUACUCACCUUAGAAUUUCUUAAAUACCAUGUUUCAAAAUCUCUUAUAAAGUUUAGGAAAAAAAAAUUGAAGUUGAAAAUUUACAAAUCAUUUUCCUAAUUUGAGAAGAUAUAUAAGUUUAGUGAAACUUAAUAAGUCUUUUCCUUCUUCCUUUUCCUUAACUAGUCAGGCUUUCAUUUUCCUUGACUAGUUAGGAUAUACAUCCUUAUAUAAAGAUGCUUACAUUGAGCUCCCAAAUCCCAACUUCGCAAUAGAGUUAAUAAAUUAGAAGGUAUCGAGUUCUUGGUUUUCAGUUUUUUCUUGAAUCGUCGAUCAAAAAACUUGAUUAGCUAUGAAGCAGAAGGCAAUUGACUCCGAAGAAGGAUGGGACUAUUUGGAUCGGGGAAUCACAAAAUUGAAGAGGAUUUUCGAAGGAUUGCCGGAGCCAACGUUUAAUUUGGAGGAUUACAUGAUGCUUUACACAACCGUAUACAAUAUUUAUUCUGAGUCGACUUAUCCUCUUGACAAAAAUAGCAAACAGUUGUAUAACAAUUACAAGCAAAUACUUGAAGAUUAUAUGCCAUCAAAGGUAUUGCCAUCUUUGAGAGAGAAGCACGAUGAGUAUGAUUUGUUGAAGGAGCUUUUGAAAAGCUGGGCUAAUCAUAAAUUUUUGGUUAAAUGGCUUUCACUCGUCUUCCUUCCUCUUCAAGUUGAAUUCGCUUAUAUUACUCGAAAGAAACUUCCUAAACUUAAUGCGUUUGGACUUUCUUGCUUCCGGGAUCUGGUGUUUGAUGCUAUAAAGGACAAAGUCAAGGAUGCUGUAAUUGCUUUAAUCGAUAGAGAACGCGAGGGAGAAGAGAUUGACAGAACGUUGGUGAAGAAUGUAUUGAAUUUAUUCGUUGAGAUUGACGAGGGGAAGAUGCAUUGUUACGAAAAGGAUUUUGAAGAACAUAUGCUUCAGGAUACGGGGGCUUAUUAUUCUCGCAAGGCAUCAAAUUGGAUUCUUCAGGAUUCGAGUGAAGAUUACAUGCUCAAGGUUGGUGAAUGCUUGAAGAAAGAAAGAGGGAGAGCGUCUCAUUACCUGCAACCAAGCAGCGAGCGGAAAUUGACGGACAUACUAGAACAUGAGUUGUUGGUGGUGCGUGCAAGUCAGCUUCUUGAAGAAGGAGAAUUUGGAUGCAGACAAUUGCCUAGAGGAGAUAAGGUGGAUGAUCAUUCGAUUAUCUGCUGUGACAGCGAGAAAUCGAGGAAUGAAUUAGGCAUUGGAGAAACAUUGGAGUAGGUUCUUAGAUUGUGAUGCACACCAAGAAACCCUAAAGUUCCUAGUCAAUUUCAAGUCUAUUAAUUUUAUAAUUUCUAUUCCAUUGGAUUUUUUUUUUUUCCUUGAGCACUAAUUAAUUGGCAUUGCUGCCUUAGAUAUCGUGAUGAGUAAGCAUGCCGAUGAAUAUGUUUUAUACAUUAAUUAAAAAUUUUAGACAACCCCAUAGAUAAAGAUAGACCUAAGAACUAAUUAUGAACAAAAUAGUAAUGGGUAUAAAUUGCCUUCUCAAUAAUUAUUCGUUGCAUUGUGGUUCAUACGAAAGAAUAUGAAUAAGUUAUCAUUAUUUGUUCUUCUUUUCCUUUCUAAUUUUUUUUUUAGCGACUUCUUCAAUCCUUUCUCUCCCUAUCCCCAAUUAUUUUGAGAUUUCUCUUCACCAUUCGUUAAUUUUCCUUUUCAAUAAAUUUUGAAUGUAUUUCAUGAAUCCAAUUUGGUAAGCCAAUGUGUAUAACAAAAUCUCUCACCCCACCAACCAACCAUUUUUCUUAUUUUUCUUUCUUCAUAUAAAGUUCUUGUCUAAGAAUAGAGAAUUCACUUCCAGAUCACAAGUAUAUGGGCUUGGAAGUUGUUUUCCAGCUAAAACUUUUGGGCCAACAAUCAAGGCCUAUCAAGCAAACAACUUUUGUCCUCCUGCACUUACCUCGUUUCGUUGAUAAAGAAAAUCCCUUAAGUUGAUGAAUUUGUGCUUCGUAAUCCUAAUUGUUUGAAUUCCGUCAAGCAAUGCAACAGAACACAAAAUGUCCUUUUCACCCUUAGGAUUUAAUAUAAUACAUAUUUCAUCCCUAUAUUUUAAAUAAUAGUGUAAAGUAUUCUUUCAUUAAUUUGCCAUUAGUUUAUUAUAUUUUUUUUGCAAGCUCCAUUAGCAUACUUGGUAGUUUGCAUACAAUUUUUGACAAUUUAAUUUUUUAAAAUUAAAAAUUAAUAUAAUUUUUUUAUAUUUAGGGCUAAAUUAGUAAUUUAAUUAUUUUCUUUUUAUUAAUGUCCAAGUAAAAAAAUAAUUAUAAAUGGGCAAUAUUGUUAAAGUAAGACAAAAGAAAUAAAAAGUAACAAUAUGAAUAUCAAUACUUUAACGGCAGAGAUUUAAAAAAAUACAAGGACUAAAUAAAUAUUAAUCUUAAAAUAUAGAGACUAAAUGAUCUUUUAUCCUUUACACAACCGUAUACAAUAUUUGUUCCCAGCCGGAUCGUCUUCUUGAUGAAGAUCCCAAACAGCUGUAUGACAAGUAAAAGCAAGUACUUGAAGAUUAUAUGCCAUGAAAGGCAUUGCCAUCUUUGAGAGAGAAGCACGAUGAGUAUCAUUUGUUGAGGGAGCUUUUGAAAAGCUGGGCUAAUAAUGAAAUUUUGGUUAAAUGGCUUUCACGCGUCUUCCUUCCUCUUCAGGUAGGUUAUAUUCCUCGAAGGAAACUUCCUAAACUUAAUGCGAUUUUAAAGGAAAUAAAUGAUGAAAUUAUGAAAAUAUUGUUAAUUGUUAUUAUAUCAUUGAGUAAUAAUAAGAAUCUUAAUAUUAAAGUUUUAAUUUGCGUUCUAAAGUUCAUUUUAAAUUAGUUUAGGAGGUUUAAAAGUGAUUUUAAAAAUUUAAAAAUUAAUUUUAAUAUUUCAUAAAAAAAUUAAAAUUAUUUUUUAUCAAAAUCAGUCCAUAUGAUUUUAAAUUUAAAUUUAAAUUUAGAGAAUUAAUUUUAUAUUUUAAUACAAUUUUAAUUUUAUCCUCUACCAUUAUACUUUGAGUAAUGAUACAACCACAAACUCUUGUACAAAUUUAUUUUAUACAAACUGAUGUGGCAUGAUAAGAUUGAUUGAAUUAAAAAUCACUUGGCCCACAUGAUUUGUUUUUAUUAUUUUAUAUUUUCAUUCAACCAAUGAAUUAAUGACACGUCAGUUUAUACAAAAUAAAUUUAUAUAAAAAUUUAUAGCUGUAUCAUUACUCUUAUACUUUAGUUAAAAUAAUGUGUUUCGUAUUGCACCCAAUGACAAUGUCAUUAUUGUUGACAUACUCUUUUUUUUUUAAAUAGACCAAACCAUUUUUUUUUUUUUCUGUGUAUUACCCCACGCCCCUAUGAAUUAAGAGAGAGAGAAACGAAGAGAGAGAAAGAAAGAGGGAAAGAGAUGGGAGCGAUCCGACCCGAACCUUCGCGAUCGGACCCGAAUUUAUCUCCAUUUUCCAGCCACCUUACCGACCAAGGAAGGUACCAAUAGAAAGCUUGAGAACUGGCCGUCAUUUCCAUUACGUCAUCGCCGUCGAUUAUUGGCCGGAAAGCCGUUUAUUGAAGCCGCAAAAUUUUGCGGUGAAGCCGCAUUGUUUCGCCGCUGUUCCGCCAGUUUUGGGUGAGGCGACCAGUUGGAUUUUGUUCCCCACAAUCCCCUCUGUCCUUUCCGACCAUCCACUGAGCCGGGAACUGCCCUGUCCCGGCCGGUCAGCCGUUGGAAAGUUCAUGGCUUUGGGAGCUCGAUCAGCCACCGUCGCCGCGCGUCGAUCGUCACCGCCGCCACCAUCGGACUCAGCGUGGUUGGAACUCUCAGGCUAGAGCUUCCCGACCGCAUUUGGUUGGCUUUCGGUCACCUUUGACCAGCAAGGCCAUUUCGGUAAUUUCGUAUCCGAGGGCAAUUUUAUAAUUUCAUACUUUGCGGGUAUUUUAGUAAUUGUAUAAAUUGAGAAUAGGCUGGUAAUUUACGAUUUUGAGAUUAACUUGGUAAAUUAUGAUUUUGGGGGUAUUCUAAUAAUGUUAGAAUUUGAGGGUAUUUUGGUAAUUUUGUUAAAUUUGAGGCGAUUUUAUAAUUUUUGAAUUUGUGCAUAUUUUGGUAGUUUCUGAAUUGGAGAAUAAUUAGUAAUUUAUGAAAUUGAGAAUGAUUUGGUAGUUUAUAAUUUUGGAAUUUUUAGAUUAUUUAUGUGAUUUAUGAGUUUGUGGGCAUUUCGAUGAAGGUUGUGUUAUUUGAACUCAACAAACGGCUCACUAAAUUUAUUUUUGAGAUUAAUUUUUUAUAAUUAAAAUAUUUUUAAAUUAAAUUACAAUUAUGGAUAUUAAAAUAUAAUAUAAAAAAACAGAAUUUUAAUUUUUUCAGCCCAUCUAUACAUCAACAUAAUUUUGUUAAAUCAUAAUCUUAUUUUCAUUAAAUCCUAAUUAACUAGAGGCAUGAAUUACGAGUGGCAAUCUUUUACUUUCAAUUAUCUUCCUACGGUUUGAUGCGCAUUCAAAUGGAGCUCAUCAUCGAUCAUUGAGUCAUGUGCUCUGAUUAUAAUAUUAAUCCUUAAAUUUUCUGAAAACUUUAAUUAUCAUUAAUCAAAAGCAAAUUUGAUUUUAAACAACGGGUUAAAUUUCUUUUCUUUUCAAUUUGGCCAUUUAGUGGAGCCGAAUUAAGCUAAGCCGCAUCACCAUUCACCAAUGGUAGCUCAGCCUCUCCGCUAACAAUAGGCAUGGCUGAUUCUCAAUUAUCUGAUUAUCAUCACAAGCUCAAGUAGCACCUACGCUAACAAAUUCAUUUUGAUUUAAUUACCAUCUCCAUCGGUGUUAAAAAAAAUAACUGAUUUCAUUGAAGAUUUAUAAAUGAAUUUAAUGGAUUUAGCGAGUAAAAAUAUUAUUAUUAUAAAAAUUGAGUUUAGUAAGUGUAUAUUAAAUAUUUAUCCGUACUAAUAUUUUAGCAUCCUAAUGAUUUCAAUUUAUCCAAUAAAUAUACAAUUGAAUCAUCUUAUAAAAUAAGUAUCUAAUCCUACUUUGAAGUAUUAAAAAAAGAAAAAAAAAGUUGAAUUGAGGACAUAUUUUAAAAUAAAAUAAAAUUUAUUAUUUAAUAAAAUUUUAAAAAUGCAAGGGGUAUAUCCAAAAGUUUCCGGGGUCUAGCCCAGGCUUGCUGUCUUAAGCAAAAAUUCGAAUCAAAUCAAAAUUAAAUUCUUUUUCUCCUCUCAUUUUAUAGCUAAAUUUCGAUAAUUGGAAAACUAGACUAACGACACAAAGUCUUGAAAACAAAAUGGUUUGAUGGGUUUCUUUGAUAGCCAAUCGAGAUCAAAAAAGAAAUGGCAAAGGGAGAAUGAAUACAAGUAAAAAAAAAAAAGAAGAAUAAGAAUAAUAAUUUAAGUGACUAGAUUUUUUCUUUCCUUGAAAUAUUGUCAUGUCGAUAAUUUUCUCUGCUAUAAUUUAUUAAUAAAAUUUAAUCGACAUAUGCGUGAAGAAGAAGUGCAGUUUUUCAUGAGAGAUUGAAAAGUGACUAACAUGAAGUUAACUUUUUUCUUCAGUUAGUAAUUUCAGUUAGUUUUAAAAACGUUAUGUUUUUGACAUCUAAAUAAAAUAUAGAUAGGAGGACAGGAGUAGAAACUCUUACAUCAAGUGAGAAUAAGUUUUUAUGUACUAUAUAUAUAUAAGAGAGAUUAUGGUGAUAGGUAAGAUUAAAUUUAUUAACAAAAAUUUAAAAACAUCUUAUUAAUAUAAAAUUAUAAAAAAAUUAAAUACUCACCUUAGAAUUUCUUAAAUACCAUGUUUCAAAAUCUCUUACAAAGUUAAGAAAAAAAAAAUUGAAGUUGAAAAUUUACAAAUCUUUUUCCUAAUUUGAGAAGAUAUAUAAGUUUAGUGAAACUUAAUAAGUCUUUUCCUUGACUAAUUAGGCUUUCCUUUUCCUUAACUAGUUAGGAUAUACAUCCUUAUAUAAAGACGCUUACAUUAAGCUCUCAAAUCCCAACUUCGCAAUAGAGUUAAUAAAUUGGAAGGAAUCGAGUUCUUGGUUUUCAGUUUUUUCUUGAAUCGUCGAUCGAAAAACUUGAUUAGCAAUGAAGCGCAAGGCAUGUGACUCCGAAGAAGGAUGGGACUAUUUGGAGCGGGGAAUCACAAAAUUGAAGAGGAUUUUCGAAGGAUUGCCAGAGCCAGCGUUUAAUUUGGAGGAUUACAUGAUGCUUUACACAACCGUAUACAAUAUUAACUCCCAGCGGACUUAUCCUCUUGACAAAAAUAGCAAACAAUUGUAUAACAAUUACAAGCAAGUACUUGAAGAUUAUAUGCCAUCAAAGGUAUUGCCAUCUUUGAGAGAGAAGCACGAUGAGUAUGAUUUGUUGAGGGAGCUUUUGAAAAGCUGGGCUAAUCAUAAAUUUUUGGUUAAAUGGCUUUCACUCGUCUUCCUUCCUCUUCAAGGUGAAGGCGCUUAUAUUACUCGAAAGAAACUUCCUAAACUUAAUGCGUUUGGACUUUCUUGCUUCCGGGAUCUGGUGUUUGAAGCUAUAAAGGACAAAGUCAAGGAUGCUGUAAUUGCUUUAAUCGAUAGAGAACGCGAGGGAGAAGAGAUUGACAGAACGUUGGUGAAGAAUGUAUUGAAUUUAUUCGUUGAGAUUGACAAGGGGAAGAUGCAUUGUUACGAAAAGGAUUUUGAAGAACAUAUGCUUCAGGAUACGGGGGCUUAUUAUUCUCGCAAGGCAUCAAAUUGGAUUCUUCAGGAUUCGAGUGAAGAUUACAUGCUCAAGGUUGGUGAAUGCUUGAAGAAAGAAAGAGGGAGAGCGUCUCAUUACCUGCAACCAAGCAGCGAGCGGAAAUUGACGGACAUACUAGAACAUGAGUUGUUGGUGGUGCGUGCAAGUCAGCUUCUUGAAGAUGGAGAAUUUGGAUGCAGACAAUUGCCUAGAGGAGAUAAGGUGGAUGAUCAUUCGAUUAUCUGCUGUGACAGCGAGAAAUCGAGGAAUGAAUUAGGCAUUGGAGAAACAUUGGAGUAGGUUCUUAGGUUGUGAUGCACACUACGAAACCCUAAAGUUCCUAGUCAAUUUCAAGUCUAUUAAUUUUAUAAUUUCUAUUCCAUUGGAUUUUUUUUUCCUGAAGCACUAAUUAAUUGGCAUUGCUGCCAUAGAUAUCGUGAUGAGUACGCGUACCGAUGAAUAUGUUUUAUACAUUAAUUAAAAAUUUUAGACAACCCUAUAGAUAAAGAUAGACCUAAGAACUAAUUAUGAACAAAAUAGUAAUGGGUAGAAAUUGUCUUCUUGACAAUUAUUCGUUGCAUUGCGGUUCAUACGAAAGAACAUGAAAAAUUAUCAUUAUUUGUUCUUCUUUUCCUUUCUAAUUUUUUUUUUUAGCGACUUCUUCAAUCCUUUCUCUCGCUAUCCCCAAUUAUUUUGAGAUUUCUCUUCACCAUUCGUUAAUUUUACUUUUCAAUAAAUUUUGAAUGUAUUUCAUGAAUCCAAUUUGGUAAGCCAAUGUGUAUAACAAAAUCUCUCACCCCACCAACCAACCAUUUUUCUUAUUUUUCUUUCUGCAUAUAAAGUUCUUGUCUAAGAAUAGAGAAUUCACUUCCCAGAUCACAAGAAUAUGGGCUUGGAAGUUAUUUACCAGCUAAAACUUUUGGGCCAACAAUCAAGGCCUAUCAAGCAAACAACUUUUGUCCUCCUGCACUUACCUCGUUUCGUUGAUAAAGAAAAUCCCUUAAGUUGAUGAAUUUGUGCUUCGUAAUCCUAAUUGUUUGAAUUCCGUCAAGCAAAGCAACAGAACAGAAAAUGUCCUUUUCACCCUUAGGAUUUAAUAUGAUACAUAUUUCAUCCCUAUAUUUUAAAUAAUAGUGUAAAGUAUUGUUCCGUUAAUUUGCCAUUAGUUUAUUAUAAUUUUUUUGCAAGCUCCAUUUGCAUACUUGGUAGUUUGCAUACAAUUUUUGACAAUUUAAUUUUUAAAAAUUAAAAAUUAAUAUAAAUUUUUUAUUUUUAUUUUUAGGGCUAAAUUAGUAAUUUAAUUAUUUUCUUUUUAUUAAUGUCCAAGCAAAAAAAUUAUUAUAAAAGGACAAUAUUGUUAAAGUAAGACAAAAGAAAUAAAAAGUAACAGUGUGAAUAUCAAUACUUUAAGGGUAAAGAUUUUAAAAAAUAUAAGGAUUAAAUAAAUAUUAAUCUUAAAAUAUAGAGACUAAAUGAUCUUUUAUCUUUUACACAACCGUAUACAAUAUUUGUUCUCAGUCGGCUCGUCCUCUUGAUGAAGAUCCUAAACAGCUGUAUGACAAGUAAAAGCAAGUACUUCAAGAUUAUAUGCCAUGAAAGGCAUUGCCAUACUUGAGAGAGAAGCACGAUGAGUAUCAUUUGUUGAGGGAGCUUUUGAAAAAUUGGGCUAAUCAUGAAUUUUUGGUUAAAUGGCUUUCACGCGUCUUCCUUCCUCUUCAAUUCGGUUAUAUUCCUCGAAGGAAACUUUCUGAACUUAAUGCGAUUGUAAAGGAAAUAAAUCAUGAAAUUACGAAAAUAUUGUUAAUUGUUAUUAUAUCAUUGAGUAAUAAUAAGAAUCUUAAUAUUCAAAUUUUAAUUUGAGUUCUAAGGUUCAUUUUAAAUUAUUUUAUCAGGUUUACAAAUAAUUUUAAAAAUUUAAAAAUUAAUUUUAAUAUUUAAUAAAAAAUUAAAAUUAUUUUUUAUCAAAAUCAGCCCAGAUACUUUUAAAUUUAAAUUUAGAGAAUUAAUUUUAUAUUUUAAUACAAUAUUAAUUGUAUCCUCUACCAUUGUACUUUAGUUAAAAUAAUGUAUUUCGUAUUGCACCCAAUGACCAUGUCAUAAUUGUUGACAUACUUUUUUUUUUAAAAAUAAACCAAACCAUAAUUUUUUUUUCAUAUGUAUUACCCCACACCCCUAUGAAUUAAGAGAGAGAGAAAUGAAGAGAGAGAAAGAAAGAGGGAAAGAGAUGGGAGUGAUCCGACCCGAACCUGCGCGAUCCGACCCGAAUUUAUCUCCAUUUUCCGGCCACCUUACCGACCAAGGAAGGUGCCAGUAGAAAGCUUGAGAACUGACCGUCAUUUCCAUUCCGUCAUUGCCGUCGAUUAUUGGCCGGAAAGCCGCUUAUUGAAGCCGC
rnacentral:lncRNA from 1 species